rnacentral:lncRNA from 1 species
UGAGCGUAAAAAAUAAAAAUACAAAUCAAGCAGUGAAAUCAUACGAUGUUCUCUGACAUCGCUUCACAAGUGUGACACUCCUUUGUUUCCUUUAACACGCGGCGUUCAACUUGCAAUAGAAGCGUUCCCACUGAUUGACACCACAGUCGCGCGUCUGCCUUCGUAGCUGAAGAAAGACUCGGCUGUGUGCAGAGUGGCUUUCACUACCGAGUUCACGCUUUAUAAAAAAUCCUUCUGGAAGAGCGGAAAGCAGUCAGCGGCCCACACUGCGGCCCCCGCUGGCACUUCCCCCGGGUCGCCGGCCGCGCCGCUACCAGCUCAGCUGCGCACGGCGCGGGCGGUGCCUGAGAGCGCCGCGGCUCUGCGGCUGUGUUACAGCGCCCCCUGCAGGAGGAGCGCCCGCACCGCCGGCUGCUCCGGCAGCGUCGGCUGAGGAAAUGGUUCUCAAGUGCUCGCUGAGUGACGAUGUGUAUGGCGACAUAUAUUCAGCUGCAGUGUAAGCAUAGCAAGAUAUUUCAGUGGUCGGCAAAUUCAGUCCCACAUGAUGCAUGGUGAUUGCUGAAACCUGCUACCUGCUGGCAGCAGUGAAAAAGAAUGAGGAGAUGUGUGAUGAUAAUGCCUUAAGAUGUCAUGGACUCAAUAUAUUCCACUGGCUGUCCAGGGACUUGAGUAUCUUAGUUCAUUCUGCUUUAAGUGGCAACAAAUUGUCUCCUGCCUGCUCUCAGAAGGAAAGAUUUUGCUGGAUGGAAAACUUGCCCCAGCAUGUGGUGAACACAAAGGGCACUGCUGCUGUGCCCUGGCUCCAUGGAGAGGACUUGCCUGGCUUACUCAUAUUUGACAAGCUUCUAGUUCAGUAUGAACUGCUGCCAUGACUUCAGUGCCUCUGAUGAGGAUUGCUGCAGGAACUGCUUGGGAGAAGGCAGACUGGAAGAGAGCCUGAAAAGAGAGGCCAGGAGUAAUCAAAAUGAGAGGCUUCAUCAGAGAGGUUCUGUGUUUUCUGACACAGCCGUUACUGCGCAGCCUGGUGGAAGCACCUUGAAAUCAUCUUCCACAGCUCUGACCAUUAAUGUCUGCAACACUGGCUUAAACAGAACUGGACAUGCCAAUAGGUGUUUGCUUGGAGAUCUCCAUUAUCUCUAACGUGGACAUUCAAAUGUUAAUCAGAUGGUAUGAUAAUAUCUAGUGAUCACUGAUUCAUAAUGUCCAUGAUGAACCCCUUUAGGCCACAUAUAUUGAGAAAGAGACAAUGGCAAAAUGCAACUGUAAGGGACCUGAUGGGACAUCCUUGAACUGGACAGCCAAUAACGUACAACUGUGUUUUGCCAAAAAAAAAAAAGACCUAAAAAAUAAAUUGCUGCCACUGCUGCUAGAUCUUGCA